rnacentral:misc_RNA from 1 species
AUCUCUCACAAACUCAUUUGGUUUUGUUUACAAAGCUAUCUGAGCGAGUGGAUAUGGGUGUUUUUUUGCACAAACACUUUAGGGUGUUUAUUGUGAAAUCGCCUGGAAUUCAUUUGCGUGCUGCAGUUCGGCUCUUUUGCCGGUCAAUCAAGUGCAACAGAUUUUUCUAUUCAUUUGAUCACGGUAAGAGUAGCAGUGCUGCUUGGUAUGCAGAAUACAAUUAUACCAGCUGUAGUUCUUUGGAGCUGCAUCUGUUUA